rnacentral:rRNA from 1 species
GACGUAGGGGGCCAGCGUUGCUCGGAAUUACUGGGCGUAAAGGGUCCGUAGGCGGUGCGGCAAGUCGGGAGUGAAAUCUCUGGGCUUAACUCAGAGGCUGCUUCCGAAACUGCCGUGCUCGAGGAUGAGAGAGGCGAGUGGAAUUGCGGGAGUAGCGGUGAAAUGCGUAGAUAUCCGCAGGAACAUCCGAGGCGAAAGCGGCUCGCUGGAUCAUUUCUGACGCUGAGGGACGAAAGCUAGGGGAGCAAACAGG